UAAAAGGUACUCCGGGGAUAACAGGCUGAUACCGCCCAAGAGUUCACAUCGACGGCGGUGUUUGGCACCUCGAUGUCGGCUCAUCACAUCCUGGGGCUGUAGCCGGUCCCAAGGGUAUGGCUGUUCGCCAUUUAAAGUGGUACGCGAGCUGGGUUUAGAACGUCGUGAGACAGUUCGGUCCCUAUCUGCCGUGGGCGUUGGAAAUUUGAGAGGAGCUGCUCCUAGUACGAGAGGACCGGAGUGGACGAACCCCUGGUGUUCGGGUUGUCAUGCCAAUGGCAUUGCCCGGUAGCUAUGUUCGGACGGGAUAACCGCUGAAAGCAUCUAAGCGGGAAGCCCCCCUCAAGAUUAGAUUUCCCCGAGCUUUAAGCUCCUGAAGGGCCGUAGAAGACCACUACGUUGAUAGGUUGGGUGUGGAAGUGCAGUAAUGUAUGAAGCUAACCAAUACUAAUUGCCCGUGAGGCUUGACCAUAUAACCCCAAGUAAGUUGGG
rnacentral:rRNA from 1 species